GGGCGCGGUGGCGAGUGCUGUCUGAAGCUGCCCGCGCGGCUGUUAAUCCCUGGCCUUGGAAAGUGAAUUGGCCUGGAUAUCAAGUAGGACAACUUGGAUGUGGAAAUACCGGUUUCUCAAAAGGCCAUCUGGACUAAAGAAGAUAGUUCCCAGUCUCCCUUCAAGCUAAGUGAAUUUGUGUACUGGACAACAGGAUGUCGGAAGACAUAAUCUCUGCCACUUACUGGCACAAGAGAGAGCAACACUUGAAUAUGUGGUGAGAUGUGUGAAGAGCAUGACAAUGGAUGCAAACUCCCUGGUCUUACUCUUCCAGAAGAAAAAGGGAAAAUUGAACCUGAAUGUCCCCUGAAAGUGAAGAAAUGUCCACACUUCUAUGUGCAGAUUGAGAAAAGAUACAGAAAAUCAGCCAAGGGAAGAAACAGUCAAGGCAGAGUCUGGGAGAGAUCCAAAUAUGGAGCUUCUGUUUAUUCUCUUCCCAUGAAUUCAUGAAUGGUGUUAUCUCCUCCUUGCCACAGAGUGUAACAAUAUCUACAAAAUAUUGCCAGUCAGUGAGGCUCACCUGAACCUAAUCAACUUGGAAAUAACAAAAAGAACAAGAGAAGACAAAUGAGGAAAAAAGGACUGUGAUAUCAAGACCAUUGGGCUAUAAAAUCCUAUCUUUAUGUUUGUAAUGGAAUCAUUUAAAUAAAUAAGAGAAAUGUGCAAUGCUAUACUACUGGCCAAAAGAAUACGUCACACUCAAAAGGAAUUAGCAUUAGGAAACCUAAGUUGAAGAAUGCUUUACCAAAAUGUAUUAGAGUUAGGAAACCUGAGCUCUUGUUCCAGUCUUAUAAAAAUAUCUAUGUAAUUAUAAGAUGUAAUUUAUAAUAUAUAUAUAAUUAUAAGAUAUCCAUGUAAUUUAUAAGAAUAUCUAUGUAAUUUGUAAGAUUUUCUAUGUGUUCAAGCUACUCCGAAUCCCAGUGAUUUUAGGAGGAAAAUAAGAUAAUUUAAUUUACUCUUUUGGGAUCACAGAGACAUUCGCUGAUAUUCAGUGAUGAAGCCAUGUACCCUCUCGCUAAGAAAAUGGACAAAUACUCUUAAUAGUCACAAUUGUCAUAAAUUUUCUGUGAGUUCAAACAUUUGACCCACAUCCCUAAACCUAGUUUAUGGAAACUCUAAAAUUUGGUGACUUCUAAAUAAUCUCUCAGAUUUAAAGUUGUAGAUUGAUUUAUAGCAUAACAUCAAAAUCAUAUGUGAAAUUCUAUUUUUAAGUGAAAUAGACACAUAUAGCAUAAAAAGUGCAAUUGUUUUCUAGAAUGUCUAAUGAAAGUCAGUUGUUCUUUUAUUGUUUCCGUAUUGUUCAAGUUUUACUAUUGUGUGUAUUGUGAGGAAUAUGUGGGUGUAUAUUUAUAUAUGUACAUAUGUAUAUAUGUAUGUACAUACACACAGACACACAUACACACACAUGUUGUUUUGUUUCUCUGGCAAAGCCUAAUUAAUACAACAGAAAAUAAUUUGUCAUUAGAAUUUUAAAAGUAUUUGCUCAUUCUCCUUCUUAAUCCACUGUCAUUAUUAAGUCCAAUGCUAUUCUUGUUCCAGAUCCCUUGUAUGUCACCUAUUUUUGCUCUUUGUAAACUUUCAGAUCAUAUUUUUUACCCAUUUCAUACAUUCUAAAUUUCAUGCUAAACUACUAUGAUUUGGAAAAUUUUUAAUUGUAUUUGCUGGGUGAAAUCAGUUUGAAAGUUCAUGUACUUUGGUUCUAGAAAAUGUCAUCACACAAUUUGGUAAAAACUUAUUUUUUUCUAAUUUUUCUAAUCUUUCUGAGACUUCUAUUAUUGAAUACUAAAUUUAAGAAUGGAGCUUUCUAAUUUACAUAUUUUGGUCUUUGUUCAACUUAUGGAGUGAUUUCAUUAGAAAGAAAAUAAGAUAUCUCUUUAUUAAAGUU